rnacentral:tRNA from 1 species
CUCGUCGUAGGCGGCGAGCGCGUCCCGUGCCGCCUGGCGCGCGGCGUCCGCGAGAUCCUGCGGCGCGACGAUCCUGCCGUCGCGGCCGAGCC